UGAGCGGGAGCUCCUUUUAAAAUCUGGCGGUCUCCGGCCGUCCGAGGCCGGAAUUUAGAGAAGCGUUAUCCGUGCUGGACCGUGUAUAAGUCUCCUGGAAUGGAGCGUCAUAGAGGGUGAGAAUCCCGUCUUUGACACGGACUACCAGUGCAUUGUGAUGCGCUCUCGACGAGUCGAGUUGUUUGGGAAUGCAGCUCAAAAUGGGUGGUAAAUGCCAUCUAAAGCUAAAUAUUGGCGAGAGACCGAUAGCGAACAAGUACCGUGAGGGAAAGAUGAAAAGAACUUUGGAAAGAGAGUUAAACAGUACGUGAAAUUGUCGAAAGGGAAACGGUUGCAGUCAGUCGCGUCCGCCGGGGAUCAACCUUGCUUUUGCUUGGCGUAUUUCCCGGUGGAUGGGUCAGCAUCAGUUUUGACCGCAGUUGAAAGGCUGGAGGAAUGUGGCACCUUCGGGUGUGUUAUAGCCUCCUGUCAUAUGCUGCGGUUGGGACUGAGGAACUCAGCACGCCGCAAGGCCGGGAUUCGUCCACGUUCGUGCUUAGGAUGCUGGCAUAAUGUCUGUAACCGACCCGUCUUG
rnacentral:rRNA from 1 species